UGAUGAAUAGAUGAAAACUCUGAUCAAAUCCGAAUAAAGGCAUUUUUUAAAUAGUAAAACUUGAUUCACUUAAAGUUCGCGUAGAGCGGAGAGCA